CGCCUCUUGACCAAAAAUAAGAGGUCUAGCCUGCCCAGUGAUUAAAUUCAACGGCCGCGGUACCCUAACCGUGCAAAGGUAGCACAAUCACUUGUUCCAUAAAUAGGGACUAGUAUGAACGGCAUCACGAAGACUAUACUGUCUCCCCCAUCUAAUCAGUGAAACUGAUCUUCCCGUGAAGAAGCGGGAAUUAACAUAUAAGACGAGAAGACCCCAUGGAGCUUCAAACUAAGUACCACCCACCACUCAAAUAAACCACUACAGCCCACUGGGAUUGGUCACUUGUUUUUGGUUGGGGUGACCGCGGAGCAAGCACAACCUCCACAAUGAACGGGACUAACCCCCUAACUCAAGACCCACAACUCAAUAAAUCAGCAUACUGACAUAAAUUGACCCAAACCCAUUGAACAAUGAACCUAGUUACCCUGGGGAUAACAGCGCAAUCCAUUUAAAGAGCCCAUAUCGACAAAUGGGUUUACGACCUCGAUGUUGGAUCAGGGUAUCCCAGUGGUGCAGCCGCUACUAAAGGUUCGUUUGUUCAACGAUUAAAACCCUA
rnacentral:rRNA from 1 species